CAAGACUAGCAGAGAAGGAUUCCAGACCAGAAGAGAACACCGAUGAGGAAGCUAGCAAGAGGAGGGUGCAGGGACUGCCUACCCCAAUGACCUCCACCAGGGGAUCCUGAAGUCUUCCAACCCAGAAGCUGAUGACCAUUGGUGUUUAAAUCUGGCCUAGGGCAAUGAGGCGAAAGAGGUCAGCACCCUGGGAAGAAGAGACCAAUCCCACACUCGCCUGAAAAAUCCUGACAUGAGAGGAACCUUGAGCCAACAGCAGAGGGUGCUGUUGUCCUGUCUUAGAUUUGGACUGGAACCUUGAGACCACCCCCAAAUCUCUGCACCUUCCUCAGGAUGAGGCAUCUGGGCCACAACAGCAGGAACAAGUGAACGGCCAAGACAGGACUAACUCCACAGUAGACUUCAUCUGUUUUGCUCAUUCUCCUUGCUGGUCUCUCUUCCACUGACAGCCCGUGGUUCCAGCAGGAAUCCAGUUUCAUCUCCUGGCCAGUUUUCCCUUGACCUUCGUGGUUCAUUUGGCCCAGCCCCACCCCCCAACAUGUUUGAGG